rnacentral:rRNA from 1 species
AGUGAACGCUGGCGGUAGGCCUAACACAUGCAAGUCGAACGGCAGCACAGGAGAGCUUGCUCUCUGGGUAGCGAGUGGCGGACGGGUGAGGAAUACAUCGGAAUCUACUCUGUCGUGGGGGAUAACGUAGGGAAACUUACGCUAAUACCGCAUACGACCUACGGGUGAAAGCAGGGGACCUUCGGGCCUUGCGCGAUUGAAUGAGCCGAUGUCGGAUUAGCUAGUUGGCGGGGUAAAGGCCCACCAAGGCGACGAUCCGUAGCUGGUCUGGGAGGCUGAUCAGCCACACUGGAACGGAGACACGGUCCGGACUCCUACGGGAGUCGGCAGGGGGGAAUAUUGGACAGUGGGCGCAAGCCUGAUCCAGCCAUACCGCGUGGGUGAAGAAGGCCUUCGGGUUGUAAAGCCCUUUUGUUGGGAAAGAAAUCCAGCUGGCUAAUACCCGGUUGGGAUGACGGUACCCAAUGAAUAAGCACCGGCUAACUUCGUGCCAGCAGCCGCCGUAA